rnacentral:tRNA from 6 species
GCGCGCGUAGCUCAAUGGUAGAGUACCACCUUGCCAAGGUGGCUGUUGCUGGUUCAAGUCCAGUCGCGCGCUCCA